rnacentral:tRNA from 1 species
GGCGGAGUAGCUCAGCUGGUUAGAGCAGCGGAAUCAUAAUCCGCGUGUCGGGGGUUC